rnacentral:rRNA from 1 species
UACGAGGGGGGGCGAGCGUUGUUCGGAAUUAUUGGGCGUAAAGGGUGCGUAGGCGGUUUGGUAAGUCUGAUGUGAAAUCUAUGGGCUCAACUCAUAGUCUGCAUCGGAAACUGCCGGGCUUGAGUGUGGGAGAGGUGAGUGGAAUUCCUGGUGUAGCGGUGAAAUGCGUAGAGAUGCGGAGGAACACCGAUGGCGAAGGCAGCCCCCCUGGGCUGAGAUCGACGCUCAGGCACGAAAGCGUGGGGAGCAAACAGG